CUCCUUUUACGCGGACCUAUCGGGCGGGACACUGGCGUGGAGGAGAUCCCUGAGUACAUUUGCGGCCCUCCUGUGCCUCCACCAAAUACAUUACCACUGGGGCCCAAGCCGCACCCUCAACAUCGACAAAGGAGGCACCAAGCACGUUGUCCACUAUGCACAAGAGGCCACUGAGAUACUGGGGUUACUGAAUCUCCCCACAGACCCAUUGGCUCAAGCGACACAACAAACAGGUCAUAUACGCCCACUCGGAAGACAC